UGCAAAUGAUGUGAAUGCCUUUCUGCUCACUGAGUGACAGUGCUGACACUUCCACCAAGAUCACUGAUGCA